AGAAUCAACGCUGGCGGCGUGCCUAACACAUGCAAGUCGAACGAGAAAGUGGAGCAAUCCAUUAGUAAAGUGGCGCACGGGUGAGUAACACGUGACUAACCUACCCUUGAGUGGGGGAUAACCUAGGGAAACCUGGGCUAAUACCGCAUAAUACCUUCGGGUCAAAGGAGCAAUUCGCUUAAGGAGGGGGUCGCGGCCGAUUAGUUAGUUGGCGGGGUAAUGGCCCACCAAGACGAUGAUCGGUAUCCGGCCUGAAAGGGCGCACGGACACACUGGAACUGAAACACGGUCCAGACUCCUACGGGAGGCAGCAGUGGGGAAUUUUGCGCAAUGGGGGAAACCCUGACGCAGCAACGCCGCGUGGAGGAUGAAGCCCCUUGGGGCGUAAACUCCUUUCGAUCGGGACGAUUAUGACGGUACCGGAAGAAGAAGCCCGGCUAACUUCGUGCCAGCAGCCGC
rnacentral:rRNA from 1 species